CGAAGCACUUUGUCGCCCUGUCUACCAACACGUCUUAUGCACUCAGUGGGAUCCUGAUGACCCCAUCCAUCUCCCAGGCGUGACUCAGCCCCAUGACCCCAUACACUUGGCCUCCCUUGACCUGCAUAGAGGAUGUGCCAGGGUCUCCCUGUAGCUCCA